AAAAAAAAUAUCAGAUGUUCCCUAGAGUUCCCCUGAACACUUCAUUAGGGUUCCUCAUUUUGCACCUUGCUGAAGUGUUUGAGGAACGCCUGAAAUCAUUUGAUCAUAGUAUGUGGUGACAUGGCGUAGAGCAGCAGAAGACUUUUAUAAUAAAAGUAUUAGGGUUUCCAUGUUAAUUAAGAGUAUGGUGCUUCUGGAUUGAGAGGACAUAUGCAAGGUGUAAAAACUAUGGCAAUUUUUCUUUUCUUUUUUUUAUUAUUAUUAUUAUUUUUUUUCUUUUUUUUUUUUUUUUUUGGCAAUCCGUACUUUACAAAUUUUAAUGUGUCAUCGAUUUCAGGUUUUCUUCAAUAGUCCCC
rnacentral:lncRNA from 1 species